rnacentral:rRNA from 1 species
GAUGAACGCUGGCGGCGUGCUUAACACAUGCAAGUCGAACGAUGAAGCCCAGCUUGCUGGGUGGAUUAGUGGCGAACGGGUGAGUAACACGUGAGUAACCUGCCCUUAACUCUGGGAUAAGCCUGGGAAACUAGGUCUAAUACCGGAUAGGAGCGUCCACCGCAUGGUGGGUGUUGGAAAGAUUUAUCGGUUUUGGAUGGACUCGCGGCCUAUCAGCUUGUUGGUGAGGUAAUGGCUCACCAAGGCGACUACGGGUAGCCGGCCUGAGAGGGUGACCGGCCACACUGGGACUGAGACACGGCCCAUACUCCUACGGGAGGCAGCAGUGGGGAAUAUUGCACAAUGGGCGCAAGCCUGAUGCAACUACACCUCGUGAGGGAUGACAGCCUUCGGGUUGUAAACCUCUGUCCUUACGGAAGAAUCGAAAGUGACCGUACCUGCAGAAGAAUCGCCGGCUAACUACGUGCCAGCAGCCGCGGCAAUACUUAGGGUGCGAUCGUUAUCCGGAAUUAUUGAGCGUAAAGAGCUCGUAGGCGGUUUGUCGAGUCUGUCGUGAAAGUCCGGGGCUAACCCCGGUAUCUGCGGUGCGUACGGGCAGACUAGAGUGCAGUAGGGGAGACUGGAAUUCCUGGUGUAGCGGUGGAAUGCGCAGAUAUCAGGAGGAACACCGAUGGUGAAGGCAGGUCUCUGGGCUGUAACUGACGCUGAGGAUCGAAAGCAUGGGGAGCGAACAGGAUUAGAUACCCGUGGUAGUCCAUGCCGUAAACAUUGGGCACUAGGUGUGGGGACCAUUCCGCGGUUUCCGCGCCGCAGCUAACGCAUUAAGUGCCCCGCCUGGGGAGUACGGCCGCAAGGCUAAAACUCAAAGGAAUUGACGGGGGCCCGCACAAGCGGCGGAGCAUGCGGAUUAAUUCAAUGCAACGCGAAGAACCUUACCAAGGCUUGACAUGUUCUCGAUCGCCGUAGAGAUACGGUUUCCCCUUUGGGGCGGGUUCACAGGUGGUGCAUGGUUGUCCUCAGCUCGUGUCGUGAGAUGUUGGGUUAAGUCCCGCAACGAGCGCAACCCUCGGUCCAUGUUGCCAGCACGUAAUGGUGGGGACUCAUGGGAGACUGCCGGGGUCAACUCGGAGGAAGGUGAGGACGACGUCAAAUCAUCAUGCCCCUUAUGUCUCGGGCUUCACGCAUGCUACAAUGGCCGGUACAAUGGGUUGCGAUACUGUGAGGUGGAGCUAAUCCCAAAAAGCCGGUCUCAGUUCGGAUUGGGGUCUGCAACUCGACCCCAUGAAGUUGGAGUCGCUAGUAAUCGCAGAUCAGCAACGCUGCGGUGAAUACGUUCCCGGGCCU